UACGGAGGGUGCGAGCGUUGUCCGGAAUCACUGGGCGUAAAGGGCGCGUAGGCGGUCUGCUAAGCGUGCGGUGAAAGCCCGGGGCUCAACCCCGGGUCUGCCGUGCGAACUGGUGGACUAGAGCACUGUAGAGGCGAGUGGAAUUCCGGGUGUAGCGGUGGAAUGCGUAGAGAUCCGGAAGAACACCGGUGGCGAAGGCGGCUCGCUGGGCAGUAGCUGACGCUGAGGCGCGAUAGCGUGGGGAGCAAACAGG
rnacentral:rRNA from 1 species